rnacentral:lncRNA from 1 species
UUUUUUUUUAAUUGUCGCUAAUUGUGCGUUUUUGUUCCUUUCAAAUUUGGAUUAUAUAUUUAUUUUCUAUAUAUAUAUAUAUAUAUAUAUAUCUUAUGUAUAUAAAAAAUUUAUUUUUGAUAGAGAAAUGAACUUCUUUGUAUUCUAAUAGAUGGCUCUUUUGUGAAAGAAAAGUCUAUAAUUCUUUAUUUAUACUCUUUCUUUAUUUAAUAUGAUGAGUCAUGCAAGUUUGCUUUUCAUAAAAUUGAAAUCGAUUUUUUCUUAAAUUUGAAGUAAAGAAAUUGUUAUAAGAUAGAAAUAAAGAAAGGGGAAAAGGAGAUUUCACAUUAUCUAGAAAAUAAAAGGGAAUUUUAAAAAUUAAUUAAAAAAUUUGGGAAUUAUAUGAAAAAAAUAGAAGACAAAGUAAGCAUGGCCAUGGGUCCGAUGGCUACGUAUUUACCGAAAACGAAGAAUCCCACUAAGGGAAGUGAAGGGUUAAGAGAUGGUCCACGUUUCCUACUAAAACAUUUUCCUAUCCAUUUGGAUCACCCACGAGCCCACCUUGAAACCAACCCGACCCGAUUCGACCCAACCAAGAAUUGCCUACUUUGGCUGCUCUCGAUAAUACUAACAGGAACUUGUCCAAUUCCGUUAGGGUUUGGUUAUGAUGACGGACCCAAGAAAUAUCGGAUUUUUCUGAUCCUAGUAAACAAUAAAGAUGGUCCAGUCCGACAAAUAGCAUUGGUGAUGUUUUUUGCUGACAAUUACCGAACACUAAUAAUAAAACUGCUUUUGUUUUCUACAUAAAUUUUAUAUAUAUAAGAAGAAGAAAGCUCUCCAUGUUAUGAUACUUGAGCAUCCAAAAUGAAGAUAGACAUAAACAAUCAAAAUUUGUCUAAUGAAAACUUAUUAUUAUUUUUUUUUUCAUCUGAAAACUUAUUAUUUUUCUCCAAAAUUUGAAGUCUAUUCAUCUUCCUUUUUUUUCUUCUAAAGAAACGUUACAUGUGUUUUUUUACAGAAAUAUCUAGCUAAUAGAUUACAUAGUACUAUUUAAUAUUUAUAUACCAUUUAAUAAUCUUAUAAAAAAUCUUUGAAUAAAGUAGUUAAAUAAUUUGGUAAAGUAUAUAUUUACAUGAUCACAUCUAUAAAUACACAAAUCACGUAUAAGUAUACUCCCUCUAUUUCACAAAGAGUGUCAUUCUACCAUUUUUCACACAAAUUAAGAAAACUAAACAAAUGUAAUUUUUACCCCAUAUUAAUACACUAGAUAAUACCUUUUAUAUAAUUAAUAAGCUGAAAUAGUAGGGAUAAAAAGAGAAUUAAUCUUAAAAACUUCACUGAAAACGUAAAACGACACUCUUUGUGAAACAAAUUAAAACCUUAAAACGACACUCUUUGUGAAACGGAGGGAGUAUUUGGAAUUUCAAAUUUUGUCACAACAUCAUUAACUAAAUGUUUGGCACGAAAAUUUGUACCGAACCGCAAUAUACCACAUAUGUAAACAAUGUUUCCCAAAAUUGGUUCUUUAAUUUUGAGCUAAUCAAUUAAAGUUGUUGACAAAAAAAAUUAUAACUAAAUGAACUACAUAAGCCAUUAAUAAUAAUUAUGAACUACAGAAGAUAUAUAAUUAGGGAAAAAUAAUGAUCAAAUGAACUGAAUUAUAUAGAAUGCUCAUGAAUUGGUAUUUUUAGAAUUGAAACACAAUGAAAGUUAUAUUCUUUUUCGAAAUAAUUAUGUUUUUAAUUAUACAACAGAAGAGAAUAUAAGGCGGAUUAGGCUUCGGUGACUUAUUAUCAUUCAGAAUUUUUUUUCUUUUUUGUUAAAAUCUUUUAUCAUUUUGAGUAAGCUCUCUUAGCUAAUCAAGUUUGGAAGCUACAUCAUAGACCAACUAGUUUCGUAUACAGAGAUCUACACGGACACUACUUCUCACGAGGGACGUUGUUAACGGCUAAAGAAGGAUCAUAAGUCACAACCAUCUUAUGGUUGGACCUCCCUUCUAGGAGGUCGUGGUGUGCUACUUACUGUGGCUCAAUGUUAUAUAGGCAAUGGUAGAAGCAUCAGAUUGGGUCAGGAUACAUGGCUCCCGACAAUGCUAUAGACUACCUCCACUUAAUGUUGAUCCGAACUUACCACUUUCAAGUUCUACUCCACACAAGUACGGAACUCUGGAAAGAGGAUAUGCAUGCAAAUCUAUGUCUCAAAUGAACAUAAUGAGGAAUCUUUUUCUCUCAUACUAUAUGUGAAUUUGGAGAGUUUCAGAAUAUAUUUAAAUCCAUAAUCAGAUUAUAAUUUACACUCACCGAAUCCAUGAUAAGAUGUCGGAGAAACAAUCGAUACUUGGCAAAUAGAUUAUUAUUCACAUAAAAGAGAGACAAAAAAAUAUUGAAAAGAAUUUCAGAAUCCAUGUAAUUUUACAUCAUAUUUUCUGGACAAAUGUGUUAAGUUAUUGCUUUUUCUAUGUGAGAGUCACUAAGAAAGUGUUUACCUCUAGUCUAAGAUUCUGAGUUACACAUGGAAUUGUAUGAAAUUGGACAUCAAGAGAAUGAGUUACUAAAGUGAAUUCCUCCAAGUCAAUUGAAUAAACAGCCAAUUCAAGAGAUUAUAUACAUACAAUGAUGGUGAUAAAAUCUUUAUUGAAAAGAAGCUCAAUUAUAUAUCUAUACAUGAAGUUCUUAUGAAUUUGUUUGCAUAAUGUACUUCUAUAGGAGAAUUUUUAUACAAUACUGUCUUUAACCACCUCCAUUAUCAGAUCACAAGUUCCACUCUAAGAAUCCAUUGAAUUAUAUACCUGAGAAAUGUGAUAUCAAGAGAAAAUUGCUUAAACUAAGUUUCUGGUCAAUGUAUGUAGAUAAUUCUGUUCUGUAGGAGAGUUUUUGUAUCAAAAUAUGUGUUUAACAGAUUUUCAAAUGAUUCAUACUUUUUUUAUAUCCAAUAUUGAUGAAGAGUUACUCUGAUAAUCUUAAAAGUAGGUUAUGUAAUGUGGGAACAUGUUAAGAAAGAAAUAUUGAUCUCUUUAUUCCUUAACCAGCGCAUAGUACAAUAUUCAUGGAGAGAAGACUAGAACACAAUUUCUAGCUUCAGCUCUCAUCAAUCUCACAUGCGAGAUUUUGUACAAUCAAUUGCAUAAUAUAUCCUCUCUAAAAAAUGAGAGAUCCUAUCUAUACUACAACUGUAAAAAAUUUUGUUCAAAGUAAUUCGUAAUUAGUCAAUUUUACAUCCAUCAAUUUAAAUAUAUCUCUUAACGUAUAAGACAUACAUAAUAAAGAAUAUCAAUGCUAAACAAGCUCGCUGGAAAAGAUAAGAACACUACUAUAUAAAGUAUAACCCAAAGAUGAUAUAUGGAUUUAGCUAGACGUGAUUCUCCUCAAAGCUAGGGUAGAAUUUCUCGGAAGCCAUGUUUAAUGGAACAAUCCUAUUUCUUAUGAGAUAUGUUUUUCAAGUUUCCGUGCACAUUAUUUGGAGAGAACGAAACAAGAAACGACAUGGCAAACAACCCACCUUACCGACAAUACUUAACCAAGUCAUCGACCACAUAGCUCGAAAACAAAUAUCAUCUCUUCUCGACUUGAGCUCUAACAAAUUCGAGGACGGACUUCGUAUAAUUUGGUUUGGCUCUAGAAAUUCUCAGGGAAUCUUUCUAAAAAAGGUUACAUUCAAUGUAAAAAUGGUUUUUUUUUAGUGAAUAAAAUUUACAUUCAUAUAAAAAAAAGAAUUUUUUAUGUGCUUAUUUUAUAAAAUUCUUCUCAGUAUCACAAGACUUCAAAAAAACAUUGUCAAUUCAUACAAAAAUUUCUUUGAAAAUUUUGAUAGGAUCAAUUUCCUACCACUUUUCUACAAGGUUGUCACAGAAUAAUUAUUUCGUAGAAAAAUGGAAAGAAAGUUUUAGAGAAAAAAGUCAUAGAAAAUUUUCUACGAAACUCAUACAAAAUAUAUAGCCGUAGGAAAUUUCGUAAAAAAUUGGAAGAAAAGUCAUGGGAAAGGCAGUGGUAGAAAAUUUGAAGGAGCAACUUCUUUCCAAAUUCAUACGAAACGUUUCUCGUAAGAUUUCGAAUAAAUCUAGUAGGAAAUUCGAAGAAAAAUCAUGGGAAAAAGCCGUGGUAGGAAAUUCGAAGGAGCACCUCCUUCCAAAUUCCUAGGAAAAGUUUUUCGGAGGAUUUCGAAGAAAUCUCAUAUGGAAUUGGAAAUGGUCAUGGGAAAAGACAUGGUAGGAAAUUCGUAGAAGAAAGUUCAUUCCAAUUUCCUAUGAACUGCCUCUCAUAGUAUUUUUGAAGGAAUGUGGUAGGAACAUUAUACCAACAAAUUUUGUCGUAGGAAAUUUCCUACGACAAAAUUUGUUGGACAUUUAUAAACAUGUGAAAAAAUGAUUGUCUGCCAAAUAGGUGGAUAUGGGUAGGUUGGUGUAAUAGUAUAUAUUUUCAAAGGAAAUAGGUAGGUAAUCUAUAGAAAAUUGAAACUCUUUUUCUUAAUAUAAACUCCAUUCACAUUCGUUAAAAUUACAACAAAAACAAAAAUAUCAUCUACAACAAAACAAUUUUCAUUCCAAAAAAACUAAAAAACAUUUCAUACAACAAAAAACACAGAAUUAAUUUCUAUAAAAAAAAAUACCAAAAAUAUUCUAUAUGCUCGAAUAAAAAAAAGCAUCUUUUUCGGACAUGGAUAGACUAGGAAAGAUUUGCAUCUAACGUGUUAUUUACGACCAAGUAUACGGCAUGCCUCACCGAAUUCAUUACCCUCACAAUGAUCAGGAGUCUUGCUUAAAAAGUGGUAGGAUGUUUUUUCCUUAUCUAAUAUAUGAUAAUAAUGCAUUUGUCAAUAAAACUUUAGUGUGGUCACAUUUAUAUAGAGACGGAAUUAUGCAGAGAUACAAAAUCUGGUGUUAUCACUGGGAAAGUGAUACAUACCAUGUGGGUACUACUAGCGAAAAUGUCCCAGAUAGGGUAGAAGAAUCUACAUUCGCAGAAGAGGCGGUAGGUACGGUUCAAAUGGUACACAAUUUCCUAAAUGCAUCGUGAACCAUUUGAACCGUACCUACCUCUUCUUCUGCGAAUGUAAAUUCUUCUACUCUAUCUGGGAUAUUUCCACUCGUACUACCCACGUUGUAUGUAUCACUUUCCCCGUGAUAACACCAGAUUUGUAACUCGACAUAAUUUUGUCUCUCUAUUUGACCACACUACAACCUUAUCGCUAAAUGCAUCACUAUCACAUAUUAGACAAGGACAAAACAUCUUCCCAUUUUUUAAGCAAGACUCCUGAUUCAUUGUGAGGGUCAUGGAUUCAGUGAGGCUUGAUGCAUACUCUGUCUUCAGCAACACGUUAGAUGCAAAUCUCUCAUUUUCUAUCCAUGUCCGAAAACGAUGCAUUUUUUAUUUAACAAUAUAGAAUAUUUUUAAUAUUUUUGAUAUGAAUUAUUUUUGUGUUUUUGUUGUAUAAUUUUUUUUGUUUCUUUUUGGAAUGAAAUUUUUUUGGGUUUUUCUUUCUGUAGAUGAUGUUUUUUUUUUGUUAGAAUUUUAUCAAAUGUGAAUGGAGUAUAUAUAUCAAAUUUUAUACAGUUUGCCUACCUAUUUUCUAUGAAUAUAUAUAUAUAUAUAUACUAUUACACCAACCUACCAAUAUCCACCUACGUGCGCGACAAUCGUUUUUUCACAUGUUUAUAAAUUCUACGACAUAUUUGUAGAUAAAGUUCCUACCGUAUUCCUUCAAAAAUGCUACGAGAAACUAUUCGUAGGAAAUUGGAAGGAACUAUCUCCUACGAAUUCCCUACCAUGGCUUUUCCCAUGACUUUCCUUCCAAUUUCCUAUGAGAUUUCUACGAAUUUCCUACGAAAUUUCUUCAAAUUUCCUACCACGUUUUUUUCCUAUGGCUUUCAUUCUAAUUUCCUACUAGAUUUCUUCAAAAUCCUACAAGAAACUUUUCGUAGAAAUUUGGAAGGAAGUUUUUCAUUCGAAUUACCUACCACUGCUUUUCUCAUAACUCUCCUUCCAAUUUCCUACGAGAUGCUCUACGGCUAUAUAUUUUGUAAGAUUUUCGUAGGAAUUUUCCUAUGACUUUUUUGACGACUUAUUUCGUAGAAAAUUUACUUCCAUUUUCCUACAAAAUAAUUAUUCCGUGACAACCUGGUAGAAUUGUAGAAAUUGAUAUAUCCUACCAAAGAUUUCCUACGAAUUUGACAAUGUUUUUUUUUGUAGUAACGUAUCUUGUUUAAUUGUGUAGUGUUCUAGAUAUUCAAAUGGGUUUCUCACUGAAAAAACCAACUAUGAUGACCCGAAAGAUGAUUAUCGGGGCUGUUCUAGACGUUGCAACAUACGAGAGUGUGGUUAAGGACGAUGGGGUUAAUCCCAUGACAGUGACAAUGCUACCAUUCGGCGUUGUCUUACAUCCCGCAAAUGAGAAACGCUUCACUUUGUCGGUUGGUUAUCAAUUCGAGACAGACAAGGUUAACGCCGAUGAAGCGAAGAAAAUGAUUUCUCAAACUUUGAGAAACCUUACCAAUGCUCUCCCUCGGGCUGAAAAGUGCCAAUAGAUGUUUAUCCUCGCUCCACGGGAUAGUUGACUCUUUGCUUUGGGCAAUGCAGUGCCUAAUAUCACUAAGUGAAUUGAGGGUCACCUUUGCAUUUGAUUGCUUUGAUAUUAUCUCGAUGAUUGACAACUAUGCAGAGUGGCCAAGCUUUGCAGUGGAGAUGGCCAUUUUUCAAUUUUUUUCUUAUCUCUGUUAGAUUUAUUCCUCGUUGUAACAAUGUUCGGACUGAUUGUUUAGCCAAGAAGAUGCACGUUUGUGGUACUCUCUUUUUCCACGUACGCUCAUCGGUUUCUAAAUGAUUCUCUCUAAAGAAGAAUCUCUUUUCAAUAACUUAAUAAAAUUGGUGUGUGGUAAAAAUAAAAAUUUACGCUGUGUUUCUGUUAAAAAAUAGGUGAUCCAAAGUUGUCUCAAAAAACAUUCUCAUACAUCAGUUCGUUCAAACAACACAAAAUCAUCAUUUAUAAUUAGUUGGAGUGGAUAUAAACAGCUAAAUGCCUCAAUCUAAACCGGAUUCUCUAAAUCUCAACGGGCUCAAGGCAUCUCCUUUUAGAAAGCUUAUUGAUCUUACCAGCCAAUUAUAGAUUCUUUGAUAUAUGCUUUCAUCUUCUCGAAUAUGUUUAUUACCAAAAAAAAAAUUGUAUAAAAUCAAAUAAUAUUAAAAAUUUGUAAAACUUAUAUGAACUUCAACGAGGUUAAGAAGAUGUUUCAAGGUUUACCAAAAAUUAUAUAAAAUCAAAUAGUAUUACAAAUUAAUCAAAAUUAUCACCAAAUUAGUUGAUAUUUACAAAAAUAUCUCUAUAGUUUGGGUCUUUUUGGCCCAAACAGUUUACCUGAUAGUCCAGUAACAGGUGAUCUGGCUAUCCCGUGACAUUAGUCGGAAAGCAUUCCAAAUUCGGAACAGACAGUGUGUGGUGGCCCUUCAGAGAGUAGUCUACUCUGAAGCACUUCGGUGUUUUUCUACUGUAGUUGACCGGAUCAGCCGAUAUGGUUUAUAAAUAAAAAAAAAUGCUAUAAACUUUUUAAAAGUUAUUGAAUUUGAAUUUAUUUUUUUUAAAUCUAUUUGUCGUUUAAUCAUGAAAAAAAAAAGAAUAGGAAAAUUAAACGCGUAAGAUCUAGUCAAUGUGGUCAUGGGAUGGGUCACCUAAUCAAAUCUUUUUCUCCCUAAAAAAAGAAGUAAAAAAAUUUCUCUCAAUUUCCUCGAAGAAGAAGAAGAACAUUAACAAACUUAAAAAAAAAAUGUCAAAUUGUCAAAAACUAAUAAACCAAUCAAAUUCCUCCAUUUUUUCCCUCUUUUCUUUUUCUUCUUCCUCCCAAUCAACUCUUCAGAUUCCAGGAAAGAGAGAAAGAAAGAUUCAAUCUUUAUUAGCCGGAGAUGAUGAAUUCGCCGAACUGGGAACUCCGUGGUUGUUGUAACCGGAAUCAAAAUACUUUCCUUAUCACCAUCGGAAUCUUCACCGUCGUUAUCCUUCUGGUAAGUUUUUUCUAAUGUCCGACUAUAAAGUUUGAAACUUUAUUUGUUAUCUUCGAUUUUGAAUGGGUUUUUGUAAAAUUUAGUCAAAAGGGUUUCCGAUUCACUUAUAAUUUCAACGAAAUUUUGCGAAUUUUGCGAUUGAAGUAUCAAAGUUUUUGUUUUUAUGAUCUGGGUUUUUGGUUGUGACAGCUAUGGAGGACAUUUCUAUUGACUCCAUUUAAACUCAUUACGGUGUUUUUGCAUGAAGCAAGUCAUGCCGUUGCUUGCAAGCUUACAUGUGGAGAUGUAAGGAGCUUUCUCACUUCAACUAUUAGUCUUCAAUGAACUUAAAAGGGUAUAAAGUUGGUUUUAGGUCACUUGAACCCUUGAUUUAGUUUGCAAACAUGAAUUGUCUCCUUCCAUUUUGUUUGAAAGAGCAGAGAAGAUAUUCUGGUUUCCUUAGAUAGAAAGGUUUUUACUUCAGCAAUAUGUCACUGCAUUCUCUCUGGACAUGAUUGUUAGUAGAGCCAUAGAUAAGAGGUUGCGGUAUCCGUAUUUGUCUUGCUAUCUGUUAUAUUCCUUACUUUAUUAGAUUUGUAUACGAUUCUCGCUUGCUUCCAUUGUUAAUGUGUAAACUACUAGCUUCUGUCAUUAUUUAUGAACACACACUGAGUUUACUUGAACAAGUGCAGCUGCUCAAGCUUUAGCUGUAGGUCUACUAUAACUUGCCUAGGACUGAAUGUAACACAUUAUAGCUCUUAAGAAAUGGUUAGAAAGCUUUUAGUGAGGGCUGGUUUAUAAAGAUGUCCCCGGAGAUUGUUAGGGUGUAGAUUCAAUGGCGAUUUUGGUUCUGUGAGAAUAGGAGUGUACAGCUUCAGCUCUUAGUCUUACUAUACUUCUGAUUGUGUUUCUUCUAGAUUGAUUGAUGCAUAUGACAAUAUGCAAGUAUUGCAGAGACAAUGUGAGAUCCACAAUUUUUUCAUUGCAAGUACUGUGUGUAUGAAACUUAUCUACCAUCUUCUCUCUAUGAAUCUUUAAGUUUUAUACCCUCAUAACAUUUAUCUUGAAUAGGCUGUGUAUAGUUUGCACAUAAACCACCAAAUGUGUGCACCAUCUCUCUGUGAUUCUGCAACUAACAGUCACAUAUAAUGUGGAUAAUGUGUUCCUACUAACAAAAUGUCACUCAUUUUGGUUAAUUAACUUCUUAUUGAAUCAAAAGGUAGAGGGGAUGGAGGUGAAUGCAAAUGAAGGGGGUUCGACAACAACACGUGGUGGCAUUUAUUGGCUGAUCUUACCUGCUGGCUGUAAUGCACAAUCUAUCUAUAUAUCUUACUUAUACAAAUCCAUUAUUUUUCGAAUUUAGUCUUAGCCUUUUUGUUGUUGAAUUGGUUAUAGAUCUUGGCUCAUCAUUUUGGGGAAUGGCAUUGAUUCUUGCAUCUACCAAUCUGCUGACAGCAAGAAUAGCUGCUGCUGGUCUGGGUCUUGCUUUAUUCAUCGUCCUAUUCAUUGCCAAAAAUGUAAGAAGAAGUCAUUAUUUCUCUUAUCUAACAAAGUUUUAUUUCAUUAACAUCAAAUACUGAGAUCUUCAAUUUUGACAGUGGACUCUUCGAGGUCUUUGUAUAGGUGUGUUGUCUCACGAAUCCUCUUGUUACAUUUUCUUAGUAAGCACCCACCCAAAAGCCUUACAUAGUUAUAUAAAUAUCAGGUUUCAUAGUUUUCCUCGCUAUCAUCUGGGUUCUACAAGAGUUAACUACAGUCAAAAUUCUCCGUUAUGUCAUUCUGUUCAUUGGUAAGAUACCAUUAAACUCUUCUCCUUCUUGUUAACAUCAUUCAGCCUCAUUUAGCCUAUAUAAAAUUGGGAUUCACAAUGUUACAGGUGUGAUGAAUAGCUUAUUCUCAGUUUACGGUAUGUAAUUCCUUCGUCCCAUUUACUUCACUUAAAAGUUAUGACUUAUGACCAAUAAUAAUGUGGCUGCGAUGUAUGGAUAUUAGAUAUCUAUGAUGAUUUGAUAUCUCGGAGGGUCCAUUCGAGCGACGCUGAGAAGUUUGCAGAGAUCUGUCCUUGCUGUACCGGUUGUGGCUGGGGUGUCAUCUGGUUAGAUUUAAAUACAACUCUCAGUUAUCAGAUUCUGAAAGUGAAAAUGAAAUCCUUAUUCUAACACUUUGUUUCCAUUUCAGGGGAAUGAUUUCAUUUGCGUUUCUUUGCGCGUCGCUCUAUCUCGGCCUAGUGAUCCUAUCAUAAAAGGGUACUCUUGUAUGAAUUUGUUGGUGUCUCUCAGGUUCAAAUUCUUCCCAGUGAAAUGCAGAGACAAUAGUUUGAUAAAAGCUUGAUUCUUUAAAUCCCUUGGUGUGCUUGGGAUUUACAUUGUUGAUUGAAUGUAUUUUUUUUUUUUAGAUUUUGGAGUGUGUUGAAUAGAAUUCAUUGACAAUUUGAUUUGGUCUGUUUAUUGCAUUAAAAGUUCGUUGACUUCUUUAACCCAAAAAAGUCCGUUGACUUCUUCAACAACAAAAAGAAAAAGAAGUCGGUUGACUUUCUAUAAGCUUCUAUUUUUGAACCUUGAAAUUGUUAAAAGCAUUAUUUUAAUUAUUUAUUUAGUUCCUAUUAUUUCUUGUAAGUGAAAUAGAAUGUUUUGAAGAUAAUUGUCGUAACGGAAAUUCCUAAGUUAUAAAGAGAAUACAACGAAAAAGUCUUUCAACUUUGAUCAAGUCCAUUUUAAUUCAUCCAUCUACACGAAACGAAUUUGUUAAAACCAAAACGUUGAGGACUUGAGGUGAUUUUUUCACUUAAUACACCAAAAUUGAGAAAAUUGUUUUUUACUUUUUACCUAUGUUGCAUGGAAACGAAAACGGAAACGUGGAAGCGAAACGUUUCGGAAACGGGAAACGAUUUUUUUCUAAAAUUAGGGAUUGGAAACGUUUUGGAAACGUGUACACAUAUAUAAUAUAUGUAUAUAUAUAAUAUUAGCAUAAAACUAUAAAAAUGGUUUAAUUAAACAAUAAAGUCUAAAACAUCAAAUAUUAAAUAGGUUAACUAAAAUUCUAAAAGAAAAAAGAUUAAAAGGUUCAAGUUCAAAUAUUUAAUUUAGACAAACAUUUUCAUUUUCAUUUUCAUUAGUUUCAUCGUAGAAUCAUAUAAAGAUGCCUCUAAAUCUAGUUUGUCGAUAAAAAGAUCUUAAAACUCAGAGUCUUCCAAAAUUAGUUAUAUGUAUUAUAAAUUUUAAUCUUUUCAACUUUUAUUUAUUAAGUUUCCAAAGUCAAUAAAAAAAUAUUUGUCGCGUUUCCAUUUUAGAAACGUGAGUUUCCAAACAUAGAUUUUUAGGAAACACGUUUACAUGACGUUUUUCGUGUUUCCGAAUAGUUUCCGUUUCCGAAACGUUUCGGAAACGGGAAACGGAUCUCGAAGAGAAUUUCCAUGCAACAUAGCUUUUUACUAAAAAUAGUUAGACAAAAUUUGAAGGCUUAUUACGGAAUAUCAUUUUCCCACGUUUCAAUGAACAACCUAACAACUGUAAAUGGUGCUUAGAAGGUUUUUUGGUAGUUCAUAUCAAGUUUGUCAUGUCCUUUAAUUUUUUGUUUUUUCUGGUUAAAAUGUUUAAUACCAUGUACAACACAAUAUGGCUUUAGUAGGAGGGGUCGAAUAUCGAAAUAUCAUUCAAUUUUCUUUGGUGGUUUUUUCAAGAAUUAUGCAAAUAAAGUUGUAGGAUAUCUAACUAGUCCAGGUUUGAUCCACGUUGGAAACAAAAAACACAUCUGUGUGGAAAGUCUGGGUUUGGGCCAAAAGUUUACUUGGUAGUCCAGUAACACGCGAUUUGGCUACCUCCUGAUAUUAGUCGGAAAACAUUUCAAACUCAGGACAGGCAGUGUGGUAGCCUUUUGGGGAGAAGUCCACUCUGAAGCACUUCGGUGUGUUUCUACCGGGACUGACCGAAUCAACCGAUAGAGUUUAUCAAAAAAAAUCUAACUAUUUUCUCGAUGGAGAUAUAACUAAUUUGACCGAAUACUAUAGAAUAUGUUCUUCUCCAUAAUAUGUUGGAGUUGGAGAUAUGCCAUAAAAGAUGUUGACACAUUAGGAACAAGAACCGGGUUCAAUAAGUUGAGGAAUACCGAAUACCAAACCGAACACCAACUUGGAGUCGUGGAGAAGAAGAUGACGUAAAGGUUAGAUGUGGAGCAUAACGAACUCCAUGUCACCGCCUAAUUACUUUUUCAACCAUUGACGAAGUCUUCUAACAGUAACCCUUCAUUCUUCAUAUGAUCCCUACUCCACCGUCACAUGAGAUUAGAAUUCUAUAAUUUAGGUUUAUGGCUAUUUUAUGACAUAGACGAAUUCAAUAUCUAAAAAAACACAAUUUAACCUAGCUAUUACAUAUGAUGUCGUCAUGCAUGAUAAUUGCCAACUAGUGGACGGAAGUUUGUAAAAGCUUGCAUCCACGAUUUAAAAUAUUGUUUGCAUGUUGUAUAAUUGAACACGUGAUAUAAAAAUUCUAAAUCUUUCGAUAUCAUUGGGGAAAUAUACUUUUUUGGAAGUUUCCCAUCGUGGAAAGCUCUUACCCUCUGCUAGGGUAAAAUUUCUUACUACUUAUAUUUCUUUAUGCGGAAGCCGGAAGCUAUCUUAUAAAAAAUCGGUCCAUUGACCAUUAAAUGGCCCAUUUCUGGAGUAUAUGCCCGUUCGUUCAUGUAUGAUGGAAAAAUUGGAAUCACACAUUUGCUCGAUAAUAGGAGCGAUUAUGGUGGUUUAGGCCAAACACAUGGACCAAACAUCAGAUUGCGUUUUUUUUCCACUAAGCCAAAACAAAAAAAACAAAAAAUAGUUUUGCUGUGUAAACACAACACACGAACAAAGGUUUUGGCAACCAUUAUCGGUCAUGUCGUAGUGAAAACCAUCCAUAUUGAAAAAUUCAUUCGAUAAAAUCUAUAUUUUGUACAUAUUUUUAUAGUUUUAGAUUUAUAUUCAAGAAUUGUUUUAUAUCCUUUUUUAUGUAUUAUUAUUAUGAAGCAUAUUAUCUUUUAUCACAUAACAAAAUAAUUUUAAAAAAAAAAUCCAUUUUAAAAAAAUUCCCAAAGCAUGCUUUCAUGUGUAAUAAUAAAUAUUAAAAAUGAAGAAUAAAUUAAGAUUUUGGUUUUGAAUUCAAUAAUUUCGUUUGUAACUAUACUAUUUUUAGUUUUGAUAUCCGGAUUUCGCAAAAAUAACACUUUCUAUCAAACUACAUUAAUAUGAUAUAUUAUAUAUUUUAUUGGGGUUUAUAGAUAAAGUUUAAAAUUUUAAAUCUGCAUAUGGAGCGGUUAUAUUUGCGUAUAUUAUAUUUUCUGUAAUCGAAGAAAAAUGAGGCUUCAUAUACAGUUGGAUUGCUAUUAAUGUUAUUUCUUUAUCAAACCAAGCAAGUGAUAACAAAAAUAAAAAAAGGUAUUAAUGUUGAAUUGUAAAUAAAGGAAGAAAUUUAAAUUAUGUCAUUUCAGAAGAGGAAGUAUGUCACAUGUAAAUAGAUCAUUGAUACUUUUCAAGAGAACUUCCACAAGAAAGCCAUUGACUUCUACCUUUCUAAAUUUCCAGCUUGACCCAUUUAUUUCUCAUGAAGUUAUAAGAACUUUACGUACUAGAUAUUUAAUAUGUUUACAAUAUUCAGGAAUUUAAAAAUAUGGUAGUAUCAACUAAUGUUGAAAUCAUUUGAUUUGACUUUUUAUUACCAAAAUUCAUGUAAUUUCUUUUAGUUCUUACCAAAAUAUUUAUGUGGUAUGCUAAUAUUCGUUUUUUAUUCUGAGAAAAUUUAACCCCAACCAAAAUAUUGAGUGGCAAGCAAUGUUCAACUAAUAUAUGAUAAGGAGAACAAAAGUUAUGGCAAGUUUGGAAAAAAAAAUCAAUUUAUUAGCAUAUUUUUGACUCAUGCGCAUCUCAAACUUUUUUCUUGAUCCUUCUUCCUUAUCUUAUCUUUUCUCAAAUUCUAUAUUUCCAAAAUAAAACACGCAAUUUCUAUUAUAAUUAUACAAUAAAAAACUCAAAUUAUCUUCCAAAAAUGUCUUUACCACUAUUUUUCAGAUUUCUCCUCCACGUCUACUGAUUGUCAUAGAUAUGUUUUAAAGAUGAGGCAUUAAUUCUCUUCUUGUUCACACGUAAGUAUAUACUUUUCAUAAUAAAAAAUUGUUUUUUUGUUAAUUCAUACUUUUCAUAAUUUAAUUCAAGGAAUUCUCGUGAACCGAUUUCUAAAAACAUUUACAAAAUUAGUUAAUUAAUGCAUAUCUUUAUUUCUACAUAAAGAAACACAUACAAUAUUUACUAUAUUGCUUCUAUAUUAAUAUUCUUCUUUCCAUAUAUAAAUGAUUGAAUUUUAACCCUCUUACAAGGAAUAUAUUUCAUUUACAUUAUAUAUAGAUUACAAGAAAAGCCCAUCAAUCUAUUAUUCUCUGAUUCAGCGAAGAAAAUAAAUAAAUAAACGGCCAAAAAAUGGGAGCAGACGCAAUCCAAACGAACGGUCACGAUCAAACCAAGUUAACCGGCGGUGAAGAGAUCCAACGGCUGAGAUGUUUCGUGAAGAACUACGAAUGGGGCAAACUCGGACCAGACUCAUUGGUGGCGAGACUCCAAGAGGCUAAUACAGGACAAAGAGUCGACCCGGAGAUUCCUCACGCCGAGUUUUGGAUGGGGACUCAUGAGUCUGGACCGAGUCAUGUUGAAUUCGGGUCGUUGGGUCAUGGUGGGUCUGAUAAAUGUAUGGUUACAUUGAAGUCGUGGGUUUUGGAUAAUCCGGAUUUACUCGGGUCUAAAGUCGUGGACAAGUGGGGUUGUGAUCUUCCUUUCCUCUUCAAGGUAAUGGUUAAUUUCUCUGUUUUUUUUGCUCUGUUUUGAAGAUGUUGCAUUUGACUCUGUUUUUCUUAUUAAUAAAUUGGAUUUUUGUGUGUUUUUAAAAGUUAAAAUAUACAGGUUUGGGUAUUAUCUUAUUAUAUAAACACGUAUAUAUCUACCAAUCAAAAUAUACAUUUUCAGAGUCUGUUUUAUGGUCAAUUUCUCUGUUUUCUUUCCUCUGUUUUGAAGAUGUUACAUUUGACUCUGUUUUUUUUUGUUAAAAAUUUGUUUUUUUUUAAAGUUAAAGCAUAGUUUUGAAUCUAAUGAUAAUUUUUUUGGUAUUGAAUUGUGAAAAUCAUUGUCACAUCUAAAAAAUUUCUGUUUUUUUUUUUUUUUUUUUUGUUCUGUUUUGAAGAUGUUCACAUUUGACUCUGUUUUUCAAAUAAAAGAUUUGGGGGUUUUUUGCGUGUUUUUAAGAGUUUAAAGCAUAUAGAUUUGAAUUUAAAGAGAAGUGUUUUGGUGUUGAAAUGUGAAAAUUUUAGGUGUUGUCAGUGACGAAAGCAUUGUCGAUUCAAGCACAUCCAAAUAAAGCUUUAGCAGAGAAAUUGCAUAGAGAAGAUCCUCUUCUUUACAGAGACAAUAACCACAAGCCUGAGAUUGCUCUUGCUGUUACUCCUUUUCAAGCCCUUUGUGGUUUCGUACCUCUUAAGGUACACAAUUUCAGAUCUUUCUCUCUGUCUAUCAUUCUUUGCAAAAAUUUAGGUCAGUUUUUGGUUCAGAUCAACCGAAAUUACACAAGGGUUUAAGUUCUUUAUAGAUCCGGUUUGAUCGAAAGAAACCGGUUUGAUCGAAAGAAACCGGUUUGAUUGUUUUGUUUUAUUGUUCAAUCGUGAUCAACCGAUUGGAUCUAAAACCAAAAUCGCAUAGAAGUAUCAAAUUAGGUUUAAUAUUGAUUAUUGUAGUACAAAAACCGAAAAAUCUUGAUAGCUAAACAUCUUGGUUGUUACUUGUGCUACAAGAAAAAUUGAACUGGUUUUGUGCCUAUAAUUGAAUCAGGAGUUGAAGGAGGUUAUCACCAAUGUACCAGAGAUCACAGAGCUUGUGGGAAGCAAAGCUGCAGAUCAAAUCUUCAACGUCCAUGAACACGAUGAAGACGAAAGAGUCAAAUCCGUUGUCCGGUUGAUCUUCACGCAGUUGAUGUCCGCAAGCAACAAUGAGACGAAGCAAGUGGUAUCUCGGAUGAAGAAUCGUCUGAUCUCGGAGACCAAACACCGUGAACUGUCGGAGAAAGAGAAUUUGGUUUUGGAAUUGGAGAAACAGUACUCAGGUGACAUAGGUGUGAUUUCAGCCUUUUUCUUUAACUACGUCAAGCUUAAUCGAGGAGAGGCUUUGUAUUUGGACGCAAACGACCCACACGCUUACAUUUCCGGCGACUGUGUCGAGUGUAUGGCGGCUUCAGACAACGUUGUUAGAGCUGGUCUCACUCCAAAACACCGCGAUGUUCAAACCCUUUGCUCUAUGCUUACUUACAAAUUGGUAACUUUCUUUACACGCUAACGUUUUAGUACCUUUCUUUACACGUUAAUGUUUUGGUUCAGCUGAUAAACCGAAUAUCAAAACCAAACUAGUAAUUGUUACUGUUUUCUUUGUUUGGUUUAUUGAUUAAUCGUACCGGAAUUUGUUCAGGGCUACCCGGAGAUUCUGAAAGGAUUUCCUCUAACUCCUUACGUUACAAGGUAUCUUCCUCCAUUUGAUGAGUUCGAAGUGGACCAUUGCGAUCUACCUGGUGGAAAUUCGACGGUUUUUCCGGCAGUACCGGGGCCUUCGGUUUAUUUGGUUAUUGAAGGUCAAGGGAAAUUGCAAACCGGUUCAUCUCAAUUGUUGGUUAACCGAGGAGAUGUUUUGUUUGUUCCGGCUCAUAACGAGGUUCACGUAACCGGAGAAAGUGAUGUGAUGAAGCUUUACAGAGCUGGAGUCAGCAGCAGAUUCUUCCAAACACUCUAGGCUAAAAAUUUAAGUAUAUGAUCUUUACUAAUUACUAUAUAUAUUUAUAAGCAUUCAUAGGGACCAAUUUUCCAAAUUGGUAGGAAUGUGUUGUUUAAUUCCCCGAUGGUGGCCCAUUGCAAAUUAAAAGUUCAAGGAGUUGUUAUUUUUCUAUUUUUAUUUAUAUAUAUACAUAUUUAAACGAACGAACUUUAUAUGUAAAAUAACUAAAAAAUCUUUUUAUCCAAUGUUUUUUUUUUUUGAUAAAAUCUUUUUAUCCAAUGUUUCAGAUUAGAAAAUGUUAAUGUGAUAUAUAUUAUCACGUGUAUUUGUGUUAAUUCGUGAAAUUCCAACGAAAACCUAGCAAUAAUGAAUAAAUUGGUUCAUGUUUCUUACAUAUUAUUUUAAGUGAUAUAUGUCGGCGUCAGAUUUCUUCCUCUCUUCUCUUUUUUAGUUUUUUCUUUUUCCUUUGUAUCGAUUUCUUUUAGCCGGCGGCGGCUCUUCCUUCUUUGUGGCUUAAUCAGAGACUUUUAAGUCGACGGCGAGCAGAGGUAGUUUUCUCAGAUGGAGGUUCGUUGGUGGAUCUACAAUGGGGAACUAUAACUCUCGACGACGGCAGCAGAUCUGGUGGAUUUCUUCGUCAGUCUCUUCGCGGAGGUACCUCUCCUCCGAUGAGCCUCUUUGGUGGCGGCGGCUCAGUGUUAAGAAGGGACAGAGGUAGGCGAAUCGUGGUUUUUCGAGCUUGGCUGUGAAGAUCCUAUCGAUCCCGGGCAGAUUUACAUGAUUCAAGGCUUUCUAGCUAUGCUGCCGCCAACGACUCCCGACAGAGAAUAAAUUAGAUGUAGGGGAGAUAAGAAAACCAUUUGGAUUGUAGAAGAAGAAGGAAAGCUCUCCAUUAAUGCCCCGGCUUCAAGAAAUUUUUGUCUCAGCCCGGUUAAUCCGGUUGAGUAUCAGUCGGAUUAGUAUGUCCGUUUUAGGCUUAGGACCGGAAUAGUGAAAGCCGAGGAGUCAAAACCCUUCUGAAGUUGCGCUUUUGGCGUAGAUGCUAUUAGGACACGCUCUACACUCGGAUCAUGAGGGACUAAUAGCUUGGAAUUGGUUUGGAUCUCAGGAGAGGAUUUGAUUUUCUUUGUGUUAGUAAUUGUUUUCGUGUCAUUGGGUGAAUUUAGGUGGUUUAAGAGAUGAUUUCACUUAGAGUCGUGGUGUAAUUCAUCUCGUUGUGGUUGGAAAAUACAAUGAUUUUCAGUUGGGUAGCGUUGGAUCCGUUAGUGUUUCAGGGUUUUAUUUGACUAAAUCAUUGUAUUUGAGUGAAGUUUGUCGAGGUCAAAUGAUUUGUAAUAUCGAUUUGGUGAAUGAAUAGUUGAUGUUGAGCAAAAAAAAAAAAAAAAAAAAAAAAAAAAACACAAUUUUUCGAUGCGAGGACUCUUCUAGGCUUCUAGCCUAUCAAUACUAGUAUUUUUACAGUCACUUUCGUCUUUGGUGAUGGAUGAGUAAAAAUGCUUCUGGGUUAUUUGGAUAUCCGAUCCAUUUUAAAAAAUCUUGCACAAAAAAUUUGUUGGGUCGGAGUAUAUUUAACCCAACUCAUACACCGGAUAUUCCAUAUUUAAUAAUUACAUAUUUAGAAGAUUUGAUUAAGAUUUAUAAUUAUGAUUCUCCUAUCAUCUUUGUUUGAUUUGUUUUUAACUGUUUUGAAUUAUCAUAUCUUACUAGGAUCGGACCCACGGUCCACCGCGGGAGAAUAUUGGUUUACAUACGUUGCGUUUAAUAUUGUGUGUUUUUUAGUAGAACGAAUCGUGUAGUAUACUUAUAAAUAUUCAUAAUAACGAAUUGUAGAGAAAAUGUAAAAUUGUUUAUAAAUAUACCCAUCGUAUUAAUUAUGAUUUACAAAAUAGAAUUUUGUGUUUAAAAAUUCUAAAAUUAGACGAUUCAUGAGAAUUAGAGCAGUCAAAAUAGGUCAAAAACCGCGGGUCGAGCCCACAUCAUCUCACUAUGGAGCAGAUUUGAGAAAAUAUAUUAAACCCACAAAUAAGCAGACCACAUGGAUUAAUUCGCAGUGGGUCAUAGGUUUAAUCAGUUUUCAUCCGCGGGUUGGCGGAUCAGCCCGCAUAUUAGUAUUUAUUGAUAAAAUUAUAAUUUAUUCAACAUGCGGUAAUUUAAACAAACUUUUAAUAGUAUUUUGAUUUAUUUAUUUAUUUUAGUAGUAUUUUAAAUUUUGGUUACUUUAAAAUUAUUUAAACAAAAUCCAUGGACAAUCCCGCAAAUCCGCAUACAUUCGCGGAACGGGUUUGUAUUUCAUAUAUGCUACCCGCGGGUCGUGCGGACCGACUAACUACAAGUCAAAAUAUUUUUUGUCUAUCGCAAAACGGACUUAACGGGACGAAUCAACUCGCUUUGACAGUUCUAAUGGGAAUAUUAUUUAGUCAUACAACAAAAUGAAGUUUGGACAUAGUAAUAAUAGAAUAUGUAUCUUAUUUGUUAGAUGAGAGAUUGAAAGAUGAAGUAUAAUGAUUAAAAAUUAAUUUUUUUUUCAUGAUUCACAAAUUUAAUAAAUACUUAUCAUCUUGUUGAAUAAUUCUAAAAUCAUAUUCAAGAAAUCUUUAUAAAUUGAAAAUUAAACUUUUUAGGUAAGCUAUAUGUAUGAAAAUAUCAUAAUUUUGAUUAAUCUAAUUAAAUUAAAAUUAGUUACAUGGAUUUCAUAUCUAUUUAAUUUACACGACCAAAAUAAAAAUAUCUAUUUAAUUUACAUGACCAAAAUAAAAAUAUCAAUUUAAUUUAUAAAACAGAUGGGUUAUUUGUGAUAAAUUUUCUAGAAAUCUUUAGAAGCAAGUAAAAUAUCUUUCAAUUAAUGAUAAUUGGCUAAAAUGAGCGAAAUUAACGACAAAAACGUUGAUUGUUAUGAAAUUAGUCCCAAAAAUAUAUGAACAAAUUUAUUAUACGUAAUUAAUGUAUAAUAUUGUUUGGAAUAUGCUUUUAUUAUUAGUUACCAUAAGUACAAUCAGAUUUUAUUUGAUUUCCAUAAAUAUUUGUUUUUAUUUCAAUUUUUCAUUAUUAAUUCGAAUUUAUAUUCCAAAAAAAUUUCAAAGAUCCGAUUUCAGAAUUUCGGGUCAAUUUUCUGAUUUUAACCCGACCCAUUUUCAAUUGUACUUCUCUUUUAAUAGUAUAGAGAUUAUAUAAAGUAUGGUUUUCAAAGUUAAUAACUCAUACGAUCGUAACACAUGGAAAAUCUAUCGAUCUUAAAUUUUAACACGUAUAAAACAAAAUUUCCUUUUUAAAAUAAUAAAAAAGAUAAUUGUAAAUAAUUAUAAAUUUAAAUAAUUUUAAAAAUAUAAAAUAACUAGUAUUUUUACAGUCACUUUCGUCUUUGGUGAUGGAUGAGUAAAAAUGCUUCUGGGUUAUUUGGAUAUCCGAUCCAUUUCAAAAAAUCUUUCACAAAAAAUUUGUUGGGUCGGAUUAUAUUUAACCCAACUCAUACACCGAAUAUUCCAUAUUUAAUAAUUAGAUAUUUAGAAGAUUUGAUUAAGAUUUAUAAUUAUGAUUCUCCUAUCAUCUUUGUUUGAUUUGUUUUUAACUGUUUUGAAUCAUCAUAUCUUAUUAUAUAAAGUAUAGUUUUCAAAGUUAAUAACUCAUACGAUCGUAACACGUGGAAAAUCUAUCGAUCUUAAAUUUUAACACGUAUAAAACAAAAUUUCCUUUUUAAAAUAAUAAAAAAAGAUAAUUGUAAAUAAUUAUAAAUUUAAAUAAUUUUAAAAAUAUAAAAUAUAAUGGUAAAUAAUUAAUAUUUCUAUAAACAAUUAAAAAAUGUCAAAAUAUAAUAAUAAGGAAAUUAUACGUUUUUUAUAAUUAGAAAUAUAUAUUUCAAUUAAACAAGAAAAAAUCAGGCAAAUUUAUUAAAAAGGAAACAUAUGUUAUUAUAAAACUAAUAUGUUCUAUUUCUGUUUCUCAAAGUUAGUAAUUAAUAGUAUUAUAAACCGUUAUCAGUCAAAGAUUUUAUCAUGAUUUAAUUUAAAAUUUGAUAUUAUUUAUCUCAAUUUCCUUUCCAAUUAGAAUAUAUGAUGAUUUAAUUAAACUAAUAUUCAUAUUAUUUAUUUGAGUUUAUUUUUUGAGAGAUCAAAUUUUUUUUUCUUUUUGUAAUAUUUUUUUACUUAACUGUGUUUUUUUUUCCUUAAUUAUUGUGGAUGUCGGAUUCACACACUCAAGUAUUUUUACUAAGCGGGAAAGAUUACUCUUGAGGGACAAAAAAUGAAUAUGUAAAAAGCUAUGAAUUGAUACAAAAAUUGCUAUAGUAUUUCUUGCUCGAGGAAAAGAUCCCCUUUACAUGGCCCUUGGCCAUUAUAUUUAUACAUAAAAAACAACAUUUAAGUGGCUAAUUAAGUACAAUUAUUCUUUCUUAAAUGUAUCCGUUUUGGUCUCAGAAUUUAAUGCUCAACGUUUGAAUUUGAAUUGAUUCCGACCUUCAUGGGCCUCGCCUCUCAGUCCAAAUUACCUUGAACCGACUUAACUAUGACUUCGACUCGUAUCGAGGUGCAAUCAAUUCGAACUUUCUUUGUGGUGUCACCACCUCGACCGCACCCUUAUCUUACAGACCUAAUGGGCCUUAUCCCUUGUGGGCCUUCGUCUUGACUGCGUGGCAAUCUUUGGUUGGUCCCGGACUACUAGUGCGGGAUCCGACACCAACAAUUAUGAUUGUAGUAUUUUUAGAUUGUUUAUUUCAAUUUCUCUUUUCAUAUUAAUUAUCAAAGAUUCAUAUAUCAUCGUGUUUAUAAUUUUUUAUUUUUAGUUUAACAGUUGUAACUUUAAAUUAUUUAUUUUGGUUUCUACGUUCAGUUUAAUAUAAGAUUUAUAAUAUAUCAAAAUUCUAAUGAUUUUAGAUAGCGACAAUGUCAUGAUUUAAAUUACAAUCUUAUAUUAUUUAUAUCAAUUUUAUUUUCUAAUUAGAAAUAUAUGAUGAUUUUAAGUAAAUUUUUAUAUUGUUUAUUUGAAAUUCUUGAAUAUGUAAGAACUUAUAUGCUUCUUCUUUGUUUUUGAUAUUUUGAAUUUAAUUAUACUAUUUCAAAAUUGUUUAUUUAAAUUUCUAUGUUCAUAUUUGAAUUAUAUAAGAUUCAUAUAUCAUCUCGCUUAUAAUUUUUUGAAUUUAUCAAUUUUUAUUGAUUGAUCAAUAAAGUCAUUACAAUCGAGUAUAUAAGAAUCGAACCUGAAACGUUAGCUUGGAAGACUAAGAGAUUUAGUCGAUUUAUCAUAUUUAUAUUUUUAACGUGUCUCAUUAGGAACCACUUUGGUUUCAGUCACCAACUUUAUGAUGAAUAUUUUUAAAUUUAGUUAUUCAUAUAGUAUACUAUGAGUUAUUGCUAUGUGAUAUAUCUUUCAUUCGAAAAAAUUUUGAAUUAAUAAUUUUAGUGGUUAAAGAAACAAUGCAACAGUGAAAAAGUAAAUAUUUUUUUUUACUUUUGUAAGAAAAUUUUUACUUACAACAUUGUUAAUUAAUCUUUUGUUAAAUUUGAUUUUAGUUUUUUUUUAAAAAUUAAACCCGUUCAUCGGACGGGUCCUUUUCUAGUAAUACAUAAAGUAGAAAAAAAUCAAUUUUUUUCUCCAUAACUGUUAUUCAAAAUUUAAAAAACGGACAUAUAUUAUCCAAUUGACGAAAAUGUGUGUUCAACGUUCUACAUCGAUUAAAAUAUUUAAACAAUGAUUCAGAAUCAUAUCAUAAAUAAGAUCAUUAAUAAAAUAAAUGAGUUUUUUGGCCGAACGGGUUUGGAGGGACGGAUUUUUGAAUCAACAAUAAUAAAAAGAUUAAAAUAUCAUUAAUCCGCCGCUUCAAUACAGAUUAAAUCCUUAUUUUUUAAUACUACAAAUAUUAGAUAUAUCAAAUCAGUCUCAUUUAGAAAAGAUUGUAUAAAACCAAAAUUGUCCCGUGAUAUAAUGUCGUGGUCUUAGAGGAUGAUAUGAUUUGUAAACUUUUAUAUAUAAUAAAUAAUUUUAAAAUUUUAAAAUAAAAACAAAUCACGGGACAGGUUAAGAAAUUACGGAACGGGUUAAUAUUUCGGAAAGAAUUUAUAUGGCGGACGAAUUUGAAUCAAUAUUUAUAUACCGCUUUAAUACGAGUUAAAUCCUCAGUUUAUUAAUAAUUGUCUCGUGGACUCGUGGUAUACCGUUACUUAAUAACAAUUGUAAACUAUAAUAUAAAUAAAUAUGUUAUAAGGAGAUACAAUUUACAAAAUAUUUUUAUACUAACUUUAAAAUUAAAUCAUCCGGGUUAAAAUCUAGUCUUGUUAUAUAUCAUACUAGAAUUAUCCUAUUUUGAGAUUCAUGACUAAUCAAAAAGUCAAAGCAAUCAAAUGAUAGAGUUUAUGGUUGUUCUAUAAAUUGUUUUGAGUUUCAUGAGCUUUCAUUUCAAAAAUCGAUAUAUCUACUUGUAUAGUUUUAUCUAAUCCAAAUCAAGAUAUCAGAUUAUCCUUAUGUAAUUUGAGUUGAUCUAAUCAGUAUACGAUAAAACUGAAGUGUGAUUUGCACUAUUUUGUAGUAACAACACUUUGCCUCUAUCAUUAUUUGGCGUCAAACGAUGACGUCUUAAGCUUCUUAACAUGUCUUCUUCACGUUAAAUGCAAAGUUUUGUAUACGUGCGCAGUGGUGAUGACGGCCUUCUAACGACUAUUGAAGAUCAAUAAAUAUCACAUUUAAUUACUCUCAUGACUCAUUCCAGUCCAAAUUUGAAUGGGCCUACAAAGAUUAUAUCCCAAUACAAAGUCCAAUUGACAGCAACCUCCGUCACCUGAUUCUCCAAUUCCGGUGAAAAAAUCAUCGCCGGGAAACAAUACUCGGCCAACGAUUCUUCAGUUUUUCACCAACUUUUGUAUAUACGGCUAAAGAGACAUAUAAUACAGAACAAAACAAACUCAAUCGGUUGCUAAAUCCACCAAUAAUCAUUUGGAUUCAGCAAACAAAGUCCAACAGAGAAUGAUAAGAUCUGAAAGUCCACCACCGUUUGCUUAUCGAUCAGCUUCACCAUCUUUUCUGUCGUAGUUGGCUCUUCUCCGUGCCUCCUACCAUUUUUCUCUCUCCAAAUAGAGUGGAUUGUGUUCUGGAACACAUACUUGAGUAUAAAUCCUUUGGUUUUAUCGAUGUCUUUUCCUGCAAGCAUCUUCAUGAUCUCUAGCCAUUUGUCGGAUCCUCAGUCCACUGACCAGCUCCUCCCACACCUUUCUUGAGAACGGGCAUUAAAAAAAUGAGUGAUCUCUUGUUUCCAGCGGGUCUUUGCAGAAGAUACAGCUCGUAUCCACGUUCUUGUUCCAUUUAUCAUUCUAUCCCCUGUUGCUACUCUGUUUUUCACAACUAACCAAGUCAGGAAAGCGUACUUUGGGGUAGCAUUCGCAAACCAGAUCUCAUCAGAGCCUCUCGCCUCCCGGAAACCUAGCUCUCUUCGCGGCUGCCCUUGACAACUAAACCUCCCCGAAAUCCCUCAGUACUUAGAUAAAUGCAUUUGCAGCGCUAACAAAGCUCGGGGCAACAACAGUGCUUGUGCGUCAGAUAUAUAUAUGCGACAAUGAGGAUCCACACCACAAGUCAGGCAAAUUCAAGUAAACCCCUGUAACGGAGCACUUGAUCUGCUCAAGGGCUCGUAGUAGUGUUUUCACAUCAAAUUGGAAGCUAUAACUUCUUUGAUUAGUUUUUAGUGAAAAUAAAUCUCUAGUUCAGUAAUAUAUGUGAAGAGGUUUUCGAGUUGCAAAAUUUCUGCAGAAACCUCAAGAAUUAAACUUAUUGACAAAAGAUAAAAACUUGUCUGAAGUUGUUUGGUCUCAUUGAUUCUUUCAACAACUUAAUAACCCAUAAUAACUAAUUUAACUGAAGCAAAAUCAUAAUGAACCAUCAUUCCAACAUUGAGAGACCAAGAUCACCAAUUUUACUUGCCCUGGUUGUUGAUUAAAGCUUUGGUUAGGAAAUGCGAAACGAUUCCAACCGGACAGAAGAGAAGGCAGAGCGAAACCGAAUGCCUCGUCUCGAUCUGAUUCUCUAACCCAUCAUUAUAAACUUGCCUGCAAAUAAAAACCGAAAACAUGGUUUAUAAGAAACAUGUUCGGAUAAAUUCAGAACCCAUUAAUUGAGAAGAAACAAAUCCGCAAUAUACCGUGCAGCAAAAAGAUCUAUCACAAGAAGAUGAAUCCAAGCAGAAGCAAGAGUCAUUUCACUUGAGAACAUUUUCGCUAUUCCGGACAGCUGCAGAUGAAAUAAAAACAUUAGAAACUGCAUUGAUACAUUCUUGUUUUCGAAUGUUUCGGGAUGGUUGAGGGAAAGCAAAACCUCUGGCAACAUGUAUUUACUAGAAAACAUGUAUUUGAGCGUCUCGGGUGUCCAAGAAAGGUAUAACAAAUAUGCGUAUAAUACGCCUAAGACGAUAUACGGUAUGCUACUCUCCAUACACUUCUUGGUCUGCAAAAAGCAACAUAAUACUCAAUUUAGAUCAACUUCUUUGGUUCUGCACAAAAACUGCAAUAAAACAUAAAACUUACAAUUUCAGCUUUUGGAGCUACAACCAUGAGCGUAUAAAAGGGAAGAACCGCGGUAGUUCCAACCGCAAAUACACUGCUUGCAAUCUGAGAAGUAGUUAACCCUGCAACAUGAAUAUAUAAGAGAUUCUAUCACUCAUUUAAUCUGAGAUCAAAAGUCACAAAUGAGUGACAAAGUUUUAAUCUUUAAACUUCAGUUACAAAUGCAGAGAAACACAUUACAUGAAGCUCGUACACCGGAGAAUUUCUUGCGAACUACAGAGUUAGAAUUCAACGAAACAUUGGACUGAACAGAGAUUCCUGAUCCUCCAAUGAAGCUCCAACGAUGAUCUAAUCUAAUCUUUGAAGAAUCAAGACAAAGUUCCAAUCUUUUAGCCGAAAUGUUGCGUUUCAUCAUCUGAAUUCAAGAAAGAUUCUCUUUUACUUCAUAGAAAUUCAGAAACUUUCAGACAAAAACUCACAACAAUCAAGAACAGAGAUUCUUUAACAGUGACUCAGGAGAAAUAAAGUCAACUUAGUCAAUUCGAAAACCCAUUAAAUUCUUCAAUUUGAGUCAAAAGAUAAAGACUUUUAAGGUUAUCCAUAACUAUUCAAAACAGUAGAACCUCAACACAUAUACGAAUAGUGAAAUUGAAGAAGAAGAUACCGUGAGAGAUGAAGACAAAGGCUGAGAAACGCAAGAAGAAAAAGCCAUCUCUGAUUUAAAUCUGCCAAAAAUUGAUCUUUCAUCACCUUCUUCAACAAACUCUCUGCAUAUAUAUAUAAAUUAAACACAAAGAGGAAUAAUGGUUUGAUAGAUUUCCACUGAAUUAAAAAAUAAAACGGAAGUGGAAGGAAAAAAAGUUGUCUUUCACACUCUUUCUUGCUCAGUGUCCACAAUUAUAUGCAACACUUUUUGCUCAUCCUUCCAUCUUUAAAAACUUCAAUUUCGGUUUAGUUUAUUUAAAUUACUUAGAUUUUUUGUUUAUUUAAAUUAAAAUCUAUUAUAAUAUGGCAUAAUCAGUAGAUUCAGUAUAAUUUUGGUUUAUUUCAAUCAAUGAUAUAUCUAAAUAUUAGUAUUAUUAUUAUCAUAUAAGAUUUUAGUAAAUUAAUUACACAAAAAAGUUCAAUAUAUAAGUACACAUAAAUUUUUGAAUAUAUUGAUGGAAAAUUUAAAUGUAAAUGGUUUAUUUUUGUGUGAAAGAAGUUAUAUGUUAAUGGAGAGUUGUGAUCAAAGUGAAUUUAGGUGGACAAGACACAAGUCUAGUUUCAGGACAGAAAAAGACAAUAGUUAGUGUUUCCCCCAUUAAUUCGUUUUUUUCUUUUAUUAGAUUAUAUAUUUUAAUUUGUAUUCACAACCUGGUUAUUGCAUUAAGAAUUGACUAUAAAAAGAUUUAAAAAAAAAAUACAUUAACGAAAAGAAAAACAAGAAAAAGAUAGACAUGUGGCUAAUACUCAUUGCUUGAGAAAUUGGAUGGAGUACGAAGAUAACUUGGGUGGGCUAUUUGGUAUGAUAACUUAUAUAUCUAUUAAUAGGCCUUUUGGCCCACCCACUUUGUUUUUUUUUCUAUUCCUUUAUCACUCCCACCUAAUUUGUUUAUUUCAACAAAAAACAACACAUGAAAACAAAAACAAAACUUUGGUAACUCCUAUCUAACCAAGUUAGAAAAAGCCUUUGGGAGGCGAUUUUUUAGGUCUAGCCGCCAAACAACUUCUCUUCUCAAAUCUUUGUCGAUACCUCUCUGAUUUUCCGGUGUCCUUGGCCGGAGUCGUGAGAGGGUGUGUCUGUUUAUCUUUUAAUUGAUUUUCCUUUGUUUUGGGUCUUCUUUGGCUUCUCCUAUGGCGGAUUAAAGACAAGAUCUAGAUGGUUGUGCUUCGAUUGGGUUGGUUCCGUUCUAGUGAUGGGUUUGCUUGGUUCUCAGUGGAUGGUCGGUGUUUUCGUCGGAGCCCGUGUGGUUCUUCACUAUUACGGCUGUUUGUUUUUGGAGAUGGAGGUUUGGUUACUUCAUCUUGUUUAUGCCCGUAACUUUUAGAAGCUCUGCAGUCUCGAUUCUGUCUUAGGCUAAGAUUGGAUUGCCUUUGGUUGGGUAAUUUAGUCUUAGUAGUAUGGUUGGUUGAGGGUAGAAGCCUUAGUUUCAAGUUUAGGGAUGGCAAUAUUGACUCCUAGUUCUGCCUCCUGUUACUUUCUGCCCGGUUAUUGGGGUUAUGAGUUUGUGAAGGUUUCGUUUUGUGGGUUCUUCAUUUGGAUGGUAGUCUCCUACAAAGGCAUCUACUAGCUCUCUUCUUUUUCCUUGUUUGGAUUUAAGGUUUGAGUUCAAGACGAUGUGGUAGGCUCGGUCUCUAUUCCUUCUCUUGCGUGGCGUAACAAGUUCUUAGGCUGUAGAUGGUUUUGGCUGGGUCUACGAAUGUCCGCGUGUAAGGUUUGUUGGCCCUCUUUAGCGUUUUCCCCUUCGGAUCUCAAGGCUUCUCCUUGUCCCUUCUCCUACUUGUCUUCUCUGGUUUCUGGUGUGGUAGUGAUGGUUAGGAUCUGUGUUCUGAUUCUCUUUUAUCUGUGCUCGUUUCUGCUCGGGGUGUGGUUGUGUGAGCUUGGUUUUGUAUCCUUCUCGGGCCUUUCAUGUAAAGGCAAUCUAAUGAUGGGUCCUCUUGUUGCUCCUGUUUGUAACCACUUUCCAGCGCCCAAAAUGUUCUAUGGAAAUGUUCGUCGGAUUCUUUUCGUGAAGAGUUUGCAGUUGUGUUGCUUGAGUCUUAGAUAUUAGCUUUUUCCUGUACUUUAAGGUUUUCCUUCUUUUAUGUCUGCCUUUUUUGGCUUUUGUCUUUGGGGGUUUCCAUGUAUCCGCCGGCUUAGUUUUCCGGGGAUUAGAGUCCCGCCGGGGUUAGUAUUUUACCAUGUAUCCCAACUUUGUAUUUCUCCCUUGGUUAUAUUUCAUGAAUUAUUCAGACGAAAAAAAAAAAAAAAGUAAGUCCUAUCUAUCAAUCUUUAUGUGGUAUUUGAGCAUUUCGAUGUAUUCGAUGGCGACCAAAACCUUUUGAAAAACAAUAUGUAUAAUUCUUGAAAUUAAAUAGUAAAAAAGUUAUUAAAAAAUGGGUAAAAAAGUUUUAAGAUAUUUGAAAACUUUCCACUAUAUCAAUAAUUAAUUAGAAAUGUUUUUUUUUUUUAAUAAAAUUUGAGUUUUUACGACCCACACAUAGCAUAUCCUAUUUCGAAAGUACCUAAACAAACGGUUCCAAAAUAUCUUUAUGUGAAUUUGGGUCAAGCCCUUCGAUUGAAGAAAAUAUAUGAUCCACAAGAUGCUUGAAUAUACUUAGUAAAAAUGAAUAUUCAAGACUCUUAUCCAGAAUCCUAUCCUAAAGAAGGCACGUCCACUAAUGUAUCCAUCACUAGAUUUCAAGUGGGUCAUCUUUUACUUAAAGAUAUUGUUAGUCUAAACCUCUCAAGCUCAUUAAUCAUGUGACAAGAAUUGAAUGUGAAUCUAAUUUUUCUAGUGAUUUCUUUAGCGACACUAGAUAUGCUAUGGUUCUUCAACUUGUAAAUUUCAUAUUUGGAGCCGCAUUGUCCUCUUUCAUUUUGUUCAUAUGCAAUUCAAAUUGAAAGACUUAUAGAACAUUACAUAUUUAUUUCAUCAGACAGUUGAGAAUCCGAUAGAAAAUGUCUCGCAAACCGGAAAACAAACGUUAAAUCCGGAAAUUAAAACCCAUAAAAAAAGAAGAAGAAAAAAAGCAGAAGAACAAGGGAUAAAAUCAAAGGUGGGGGAUAAUGUUUUGAUGUUUACACAGAGCAAAGGGAAAUUAACCGGUGAAGCUUGGUGGCUUGUAGGCAAUGAAACUGAUGCACUGCACUUGACGGCUGUUGUCGAAUCCGAUGAUCCUAAUGAAGGCUUCAGGGUACUCCUUCUUGCACUCUUCCACUUCCUUCAACACUUGAGCGGA